rnacentral:sRNA from 1 species
AGCGCCCGCGGCGGACCCGGCACGCGCCUUAACCCCUGCGGGGGCUUUGCGGGCAGCCGGCACGUGUACGGUCUGGUCAUUCCGUGAAUUAUCACGGAUUUAACAUCUUC